CAACUUCUCUCCCCCUAGUCCUCCACACCACAUAACAAAGCCCUUCCUUGAUCUGAAAUCAUGAGAAUUAGGGUUUGGAUUUGAUCUAAAAUCAGUUUUCAUAUUUGAAGAGUAAAAAAAAUCUCCAUUGAUGGCUUCGUCUUUGCCUCUACCAGACCUUACCUUCCUGUAUCCUCAAACCACUCCUAAAAACCGCCUUUCUCUCUCUAAGCUUCCUCUCUCUGC
rnacentral:misc_RNA from 1 species